rnacentral:rRNA from 1 species
AACGAACGCUGGCGGCAUGCCUAACACAUGCAAGUCGAACGAGACCUUCGGGUCUAGUGGCGCACGGGUGCGUAACGCGUGGGAACCUGCCCUUAGGUUCGGAAUAACUCCCCGAAAGGGGUGCUAAUACCGGAUAAUGUCUUCGGACCAAAGAUUUAUCGCCUUUGGAUGGGCCCGCGUUGGAUUAGCUAGUUGGUAGGGUAAAAGCCUACCAAGGCGACGAUCCAUAGCUGGUCUGAGAGGAUGAUCAGCCACACUGGGACUGAGACACGGCCCAGACUCCGACGGGAGGCAGCAGGGGGGAAUAUGGGACAAUGGGCGAAAGCCUGAGCCAGCAAGGCCGCGUGAGUGAUGAAGGCCUUAGGGUUGUAAAGCUCUUUUACCCGGGAUGAUAAUGACAGUACCGGGAGAAUAAGCUCCGGCUAACUCCGU